rnacentral:rRNA from 1 species
GACGAACGCUGGCGGCGUGCCUAAUACAUGCAAGUAGAACGCACAGAUUAUACCGUAGCUUGCUCCACCAUAGACUGUGAGUUGCGAACGGGUGAGUAACGCGUCGGUAACCUGCCUGGUAGCGGGGGAUAACUAUUGGAAACGAUAGCUAAUACCGCAUAAUAUUGAUUAUUGCAUGAUAAUUGAUUGAAAGAUGCUAUUGCAUCACUACCAGAUGGACCUGCGUUGUAUUAGCUAGUAGGUGAGGUAACGGCUGACCUAGGCGACGAUACACAGGCGACCUGAGAAGGUGAACGGCCACACUGGGACUGAGACAACGCCCAGACUCCUAAGGGAGGCGGCAGUAAGGAAUCUUCGUCAAUGGACGAAAGUCUGGCCGUGCAACGCCGCGUGGGUGAAGAAGGUUUUCGGAUCGAGAAGCUCUGUUGAAGGAGAAGAACGAGUGGGAGAGUGAAAAGUUCACCCUGUGACGGUAUCUUACCAGAAAGCGACGGCUAACUACGUG